rnacentral:rRNA from 1 species
GCAUAUCAAUAAGCGGGAGGAAAAGAAACCAACCGGGAUUGCCCCGGUAACGGCGAGGGAAGCGGCAAGAGCUCAAAUUUGAAAUCUGGCCCCUCCGGGGUCCGAGUUGUAAUUUGCAGAGGAUGCUUCGGGUGCGGCCCCCGUCUAAGUGCCCUGGAACGGGCCGUCAGAGAGGGUGAGAAUCCCGUCUUGGGCGGGGUGUCCGUGCCCGUGUGAAGCUCCUUCGACGAGUCGAGUUGUUUGGGAAUGCAGCUCUAAAUGGGUGGUAAAUUUCAUCUAAAGCUAAAUACUGGCCGGAGACCGAUAGCGCACAAGUAGAGUGAUCGAAAGAUGAAAAGCACUUUGAAAAGAGAGUUAAACAGCACGUGAAAUUGUUGAAAGGGAAGCGCUUGCGACCAGACUCGCCCGCGGGGUUCAGCCGGCACUCGUGCCGGUGUACUUCCCCGUGGGCGGGCCAGCGUCGGUUUGGGCGGCCGGUCAAAGGCCUCCGGAAUGUAUCGCCCUCCGGGGCGUCUUAUAGCCGGGGGUGCAAUGCGGCCAGCCCGGACCGAGGAACGCGCUUCGGCACGGACGCUGGCAUAAUGGUCGUAAACGACCCGUCUUGAAACACGGACCAAGGAGUCUAACAUCUACGCGAGUGUUCGGGUGUCAAACCCGUACGCGCAGUGAAAGCGAACGGAGGUGGGAGCCCCCCCGGGGGCGCACCAUCGACCGAUCCUGAUGUCUUCGGAUGGAUUUGAGUACGAGCGUAGCUGUGGGGACCCGAAAGAUGGUGAACUAUGCCUGAAUAGGGCGAAGCCAGAGGAAACUCUGGUGGAGGCUCGCAGCGGUUCUGACGUGCAAAUCGAUCGUCAAAUUUGGGUAUAGGGGCGAAAGACUAAUCGAAACCUUCUGG